rnacentral:tRNA from 1 species
UUAAUUAAAACCAAAAUGAGGUAAAUUAUUGUUAAUAAUUUUAAUGAAAAAAAAUUCUAAUUAAU